CAUUAGAUAAAUAGAAACAGGGAGAGAGAGUAAAGCUGUCUUGGAUUCUUAUUCUUUCUGUCCCUCUUCUCUCCUAAGAAGGGUAUGUAUUACCUCCUCCCAUCAUCUAUCCUUUCCCUCAGCUCCUUGAGGUUGGGAGGUUUAAAUGAAAAAGCUGUGUCAGGAGUCUGCAGUUGGCUGCCUUCCUCCUUUAGUUUCAGGGAAAGAGCAAUCAGUAGGUUGUCUCUGUUGCUCCUGCCCACUUCAGGCUGUUUGCUCCUCUUGCAGCCCCUAUACCCAUACUCAGCCCCAGCUAUCGUUGAAAAGCUGCAAGAGCUUUGCUUUCCCAACUAUUCAAACCGUUUGUGUGUAUGGUGAACCCCUGAACACAGGUAUUCCUAAAAUUCUCACCCUUCUGCUUCUCAAACAUGAUUUUAACCAUUUCUCUGUGAGCCUUAUUGCUCUUGCUAAUUUUCACAAGCCCUGGUUUCUGAAGAGAUUCUGAAGGGAUCACAUUCAUAGCCACACAUGUAGGGAUUGGGUAAGGAUCUACCCUGCCAUUCUCACUUUCAGCUAUCAUGUUCAGGCACCUCAGAUCCAUGACUCUGGCUGAAAAGCUGAACAUCUUAAGGGGGAAAAAGCUGUUUCUUUUCCUCCUGAUUUUAAAAUCUUUAAGGUUUGUACUAUUUUCCCUCUGUCUAGACAGCGUUAAUGUAGAGACUUUACAUUGUGCAUUUCACAAAAGGAGGGGGGACUCUGAAACAGCACAAGUAAUAUGAGGGUUAAAAACUCAAGAACAUCUCACUCUGACCCCUUUGCUCAGAAGGUGGAAAAUAGCCAGCAGCCAGGCUUACACAAAAAAUGGUUUACUUAUCUCCAUAAAGAUGCCAGUGGAUGUCCAUGAGCCUAUGUACAGAUGGAUUAUUUAUCCCUCACUGGGUGUAAGGUGAAGAUCUUUGCCCCAGGCUUUUGGUCAGACACUCAGAACAUUCCUCAGGCUGUCACUUGUCUGUAUAUCACUACUGUGAUUCUAUAGCCCCCAAAAAUGAGAUAACCCAGGCAGCACACACACAAACACAAACCUCCUCCCCCAGUACUUCAUAUUACCUUCAUAUUAUAUUCACCUAAUACAAGCGUUAUAUGGUUCAGUCCAUAACCCUUUUUGUUGAUGGGAAAUCCUUAGCUAUGGACAGGAAACUGAAGGUCAGAAAAGAAUAAAAUAUAUUCCAAUUUCCUGUUAUAGGUAAGUGUGGGAGGUGCAGCUGUGGCUUUUAAAAUAUGAUCAUUGUAAAAGCAAUAGUUUAUGAGAAGGUACAGGUAUGUAUGGGGUACAAAACUACAUUCAGUGUUGGGCUGAACAACUACAGCAUAUUUUUCAUACCUACCACAUUAAACAAGAAACUUAGUAGUUGUUAUUUUAUUUUC
ensembl:lncRNA